CGCGCAGCGUGAGUGCCAGGAAGCGGCUGAGCGCACGAGUGCGCGCGCGUAUUUAACUGAGUGAGUUGAAAGCGGGUGGCGUGAGUCUGCACGCGCUUUGCUGUCAGAAACACAAGAUGUUUGACAAGCUCACCGGAGGCACGAGCGCACAUUUCUACCCAUUUCAGUUGUUUGUUCAUACAUAAAGAAUCUGUCUAGCCAUCUGUUUUGGCAAGAGAAGAGAAGAACAGAACAAGAAAAAAAGAGAAAAGAAGACAUCUUGUCUUGGUACUAGUUGGCUUGGAUGGUCAUGGGGCAUAUGGUGGCCUAUGACUAAUGACCUUUGAAUCUGAAAAUUUCAACAUGUCAGAAACAGGAGAAUCUGAAAAUAUCCCAGAAUGCACUGUGGAGGAGACUUCACCUCCAUGUUGUACCACAGACACAAAGGACUGUCAUGAAUCCACCCAGGCCAAAGGAAAAUUAGUUCGGAGCACAGCUGUGUGUGAUGAGUCUUUAUCAACUGAAGAGAACAGCAAGGAAAAAGAGAGCAAGACAACUGUAUCUAGUAACCAUGGUGACAGUCCUGAGUGCAGUGAGGAGGAAGAGGAAACAAACAUCACAUCGAAAAAAACAAGUUUAUCUAAAGAGCCCAGUCUGGAGUACACCGACUCCACAGGCAUUGAUCUGGAGUUGUUUUUAAUCACUACUUUGAAAAGCAGUCCCAGGGACAGACUGAUGCUUCUAAAACUCGAGCAAGACAUGACUGACUUUAUGACAGACAACAGGUACCAUUCCAUGCAUGCUUUAGAAAUAGACAUUUCCCUCAGAUGUCCUCAUAUCACAGGAUGCUGGUCCACAGGACCAGAACAUCGGUUUGCUGAACAUGUUCAGGAGGAGAAAACAGAGGAAAGAAGAUCAAUACUGAAGAGAGACACCAGUCAGGAGAAAGAAGACAGUCGGCUCAGGGUUCCAUCUCUCAAAGAACAAAUGAGGAGCAAGUCAAUAGAGGAGAGAGAGGAGGAGUACCAGAGAGUCAGAGAACGCAUAUUCUCACAGGAUGUAAGAAAACACUUACUUAAAAAUAUUCUCAGUGAGACCCAGAGAAGACGGCAGCUAUUUAGGGAUGGCUCAGGACGGCUGUCCGGCAGCAGGCAGAGCAGCUUUGAACUGGACUCUCAUUGGAAUGACCCUCGACCUUGGAGCAGCACAGAUUCUGACAGCCCGACAUGUACCUCUAAAUCUGCACAUGCUCGUUCAGAUAGCAGCUCCAAACUCUGCAAUCCAGCUCUAUCAUACGCUCCACCCAACAACAGCCUUGCUUACAUUAUUGUGCCUGCUGAGUCAUCAAUACCGCCUGGGAGCAUCUUAUUGAAUCCACAUACAGGGCAGCCAUUUCUGAAUCCUGAUGGAACUCCAGCUGUUUACAACCCGCCAGUAAGUCAGAAGCCAUGUAACCAGCUUAACCCAGGACAGUCACAAGCCCCGCCCCCUCCACCUCAGAUUUUUUUUUUUUUAAAUCAACAAAAUUCACAAUCUGCCCUCUCAUUUCUGCAGUUAAACAUUUCUACCUCCCAGCAACACCCAAUAGAACAGACUAGGGAAGACAUUACUGCUAAGUUUGGUCACAUGAACUUGAGUCGCCAGUCGUCAUCAGGGGAUCUUCCAGAUAUGCCCUCAUUCUACAUGCAAGGAGCUCCACCCACACACAGCUAUGCUCCGCCUCACCACAGUUAUGCUUCGUCUCACCAUUCAGACAGUUACAUAACCCCUGGAAUGACAUUGGCUCCUCCCACAGCCCCGCCCCCUCAGAGUCAGCAGAGCAGCCAGGUUUCAGUGUACAGUUACCCUGUUCAAUGUCCCAGUGCAUCUCAACAAUACGCAGCAGCCAGUUACAAUGCACAAACAGUAUACCCGCCUGUUAUGUCAAACCAACAAGGCUGCCCGGGCAUGAUGGGAAGUCAGAUUCUGCCCCAAACACAGCCUGGCAUUGUGGGACCUUACCCAUCCGUAUCCUCCUAUCAGCAACAACAACAACAACAGUCCUAUCCUGCAAUGCUGGUGUCAGGACAAAGUGGGCAGACACAGUGUUUGGUGCCCCCUGCUGGAGUUCAAGUAUACUGCAGCUCUUUGGCCCCUUCUUCCCCUCCACUUAAUGUGAUGGGGGUUUCCUUCCAGUCAAGUAGCUGCAAAAAUGGCUGUAGCGUUAAUCAGAACCAGUGCUGGUACUAA
rnacentral:lncRNA from 1 species